rnacentral:lncRNA from 1 species
AUGCCUGGGGAAGUCUGGAGACUGGGGCCCAGCUGCAGAGGCAGCCAGGCCUGCGUGGCUCGCAACCCGGAGACAUCGAGGCUGGGUCAGGACAGGCCAGCCAGGAGGGAGGGGAGAGGAAGAGGGAGAGCUGGCCAACAUCUGGGCCUCGUUGACUGGCUGGGAGAACUCCAGAUGUGGCCACAUGGUGCCGGACACAGGCGAAGAGGAGCUGGCCUGGCAGGCAGCCUGGGAUCCUCCGUCAUCCUGGCCAGCCACUCACUCAGACGUAUCUUUUUAAGUGUUCACCGUCCUGCGCAGGACCCUGACCUGAGCCCCUCUGGGCCAGCCGGGGGCCCUAUUCUGGGGAACCUGCUGUCUGGCCAUGGACAGAGCACCAGUCCCCAUGAGCCAGGGAAGAGAUGUGCUGCUGCAGGAGAUCAGACACUCGUGGGUCAAAGGAACCAUGUCUCGACCCUCCAACCUCUUCAUCAUCAACUGACGUCACACGGAAGAGCGUGCAGCUUGGACAGCGUCCCCGGAUCGCCGUGGGUUCAGAGCGCUUGCACUUGUUGCUAGAUAUUUCUCACUGUCAGGUUAGGAGUUGUCACAUCUUCCUUCUGUGGGAGUUUCUGUGCCAGCAAUCGGCUUCGGUCUAUGUCUAAUUAACUGCUUUGAAUCAGCUAUAGCAUGAGAAACCAGAGAGCUUGGCUCAUUAAGACUACGUGUCAACAGCAAGUAAACUGGUC